rnacentral:lncRNA from 1 species
GGCACACCGAGGCUCUCUCGGUGCGCUCUCGCCACGGGGCCGCCUACGCGCUAAACUCACUCUGGCCCAGCCAGUGUCUGGGGACGCGGCCACCUCCCGCCCGGUGGCCCGAGAGCGCCCGCCCUACCGACAGCGCGCCCGGGGACUGGUGAAGACCCGGCUUGCGCCCCAGGCGGCUCCGCAGUGCUCGCACCACGGGCAUACACAGCUGAGCCAAGGACACGGAAGCUAUCCCGGGAAGGUUGCGGAGUCCGCGCGGUGGCCGCUCCUUACCCUCGUUCAGUGGCUCUUGGUGACCCCAAGGCUCCGCCCGCCCCCACCACACCCACGAAAACCCACCGGGCGUUCCCGGCGGCCCGGAGCGAUACUCACGUUAUUCGGGGCACCUGCUUGACGCAGUGUCUUCUCCCUUCCCGCCGGGCCAGACGCGAACGUGGAGAAAGAUGGGAGCAGCGCGUCGCUGACAGCCAUGUCAGACUCGCCAGGUGGCUGCCUGCGAGCAAGGCAGGGAGCGGAGACAGGAGAGUCAGGGGCGGCUUUCGGCCGUCGUUCCGGCGCGUCCCACCGGUCCUCACCCCUCCCUGCUCCCAGCGCCGCGCGCCUCACCUACCUCAUUAAUGUGGGGGCCCAGAAGGUCCUCGGCAGCCCGAAGCAGCUGGGGCACCUGAACCCCAAAGUCAACGAAGAGAAGAAACGAAGCCAAAACCCAAAACCCCAAAUUGGCCGAGAUCCUUCUUCUUUGGAUUAAAUAUAACUUGGAAGCGUC